GCGAUAAGUCGACCGCCUGGGGAGUACGGCCGCAAGAUUAAAACUCAAAUGAAUUGACGGGGGCCCGCACAAGCGGUGGAGCAUGUGGUUUAAUUCGAUGCAACGCGAAGAACCUUACCUGCUCUUGACAUCCAAAGAACUUUCCAGAGAUGGAUUGGUGCCUUCGGGAACUCUGAUACAGGUGCUGCAUGGCUGUCGUCAGCUCGUGUUGUGAAAUGUUGGGUUAAGUCCCGCAACGAGCGCAACCCUUUUCCUUUGUUGCCAGCGAGUAAUGCGGGAAACUUUAAGAGACCGGCCGGGAACAACCGGAGGAAGGUGGGGAUGACGUCCAGGCAUCCUUGGCCCCUAACAGCA
rnacentral:rRNA from 1 species